rnacentral:ncRNA from 1 species
AUCCGACAAGGGCAAACCGCUCGAAAGGGCGGGACGCAAAGCUACGGGCCUAAGGGGGGGGUAUCCUAUGGUCGCCGAGCUGCCGAA